GGUCCCCUUAGGAUUAGUCAAUUAUUAAGCGGUCUAUCCCUCUAAGAAAGAGUGUUAUUGAUUGAUUAUCACUAUAGGUUUAAUAAUUUAGUUGUUUUUAUAGCAGAGAUAUGGAAACAGAAGAGAGAGCCAUGGAUGGGGGUGGAGCCAGAAGAGCAAACAGGACAAAGAGAGAAGACGUCAUGGCGAAGGAAGAAAAAAACAGCAGUGAAAAGAUGAGAUGUGGGAAAGAAGAGCUAAAUGUGCCAGAAAUCUCAAACAAGCCCCCAUUUCAAUUCUCCUCAUGAUUCAUCACUGGCCCCUGUUGGGCAAUAUGAAGAGCGCCAUGUGAAUUUUGAAAAUAGCAAGACACCAGAAGCACAGAAGAAGAGGAGAUCAUCGUCAACCGGUUGAACCUUGAAUGUCGACCAUACAGGCAUGUUAAAACAGACACAUGUUCACCUAUUGCUCUGUAAUCUCAUCUCCUUGAUAUCAACUUUGAUGAUCAGCCUCAGUAUAAAGAGGGGACGGAUGGUUUGUUACAACUUGGCUCUUUUUUCUUAAUGAGAUUUGCAGUAAUAGCAUUUUACUCAGCAGGUUUAUUGUAUUUAUUGCUUGCAUGCUGUCCAAAUGCUUAGGGAAGUUUCUACUAAAUUUCUCUUAACUUUAAAAAAAUGGAUGUCAACUUUAACUAUAAAUGGUUAAAACAAACGUGUAAAUUUGAUAAUUUACUUCUUCUUCUCAAUAUCAAGUUUUUUUUGUACAUUACAGUCAAUAUGACAUAUAAGAUUCGCCAUCCAGAUCCAAUUAGCUGUGCACUUUUGACUGUUACUGUAAAGUAAAUUA